CUAGAGAGUUCUACUACAUUCUAGGUAGAUACAAGAGUGUUCUAGAGAGUUCUAGAGUGCUCUAGAGAGUUCUAGAGAGCUCUAGAGAGUUCUAGAGAGCUCUAGAGAGUUCUUAGAGAUCUCUAUAAAUCUCUACACCUAGUAGAAUCUACAAGAUAACUCUAAAGGGGUCUAGAGUCUUCCAGGGCCUUCCGGGGCACGCUGGACUGUUCCGGAAGCAUUUUGGAG
rnacentral:lncRNA from 1 species